UAAAUAUCAGAAUCAAGUUUCAGAUUAUAGCAAAGUUUUGCCCAAGCCGAAUACAAGACAAAUAACAAAGUACAGGCCCAUGGAUCAUUCGCGAGACUGGCGACCACACAUUGAGAAGAAACAUACUAAUAAUAGUAGAAAUGUUGUCUGUUUCGGAUACAUGCUUCGCCGCGUUGAAGCUGGGAACUGUUGUGCAUUACCUUAAUCGAACUUGAUUUUGCGCAGCGGCUGCAGCAAAGCAAUGUUCGCACGGGGUCUUGAGGGGAUCGUUCGUCUUGCACUUGAUGCAUUUCUUCAGUCAUCGUUUGGCGGGUGCACGGGCGGCUUGUCGUUGUCUGGCUUCCAACCGCCUGAGAUGGCGGCGCGGAGUACAAAAUCCUGGUCACCCAUUAUCUCCGAGAGACGAUCUUGAGCAUAAGAGCAAUGUACAUAAUGAGGACCCAACCAAGUAAUCAGGAGUACAGUGCCCAAGCAAACAGACAAAAAAUGCAAUCUUUUUUCCAUUAAUUGAAGGAAUCCUAACCUUGCGCCUCGGUCAUGGGUCCAAAGAAUAUUGCUGUCCCGGCCGGCGCUGUGUUACCUCCGGGUGGACGGCGUGGUGGCGGCCGGACGCCCGCUGCUGCAGAAAAUGGCUCCCGAGAAAGAAAGGUGUAGUCAGCGAAGAGCGUGGGGGCGAGUCCAGUCGAUGGUGCCUCGUCUUGAAAGAUGGAGGCAUGCAGCAGAUCGGCGGCGCGGGGCUUCUUGGCUGCGAAGGACAAAGGGGAAAUAAGGUGGCUUUCAGAUUUGCCCGCCGCGCGCGUCCAUGGAUUCAAAGCACAAGCGGAGCAGAUGUUUUUAUAUUGAAACUUACUGGAUCCGGAAGCAGCUGAUCCGGAUAGGUCAUCCAUCUUCUUCUUC
rnacentral:lncRNA from 1 species